GCUUUGAAGUGUGGACGCCAGUCUGCAUGGAGCCGACCUUGAAAUACCACCCUUUAAUGUUUGAUGUUCUAACGUUGGCCCGUUAUCCGGGUUGCGGACAGUGUCUGGUGGGUAGUUUGACUGGGGCGGUCUCCUCCUAAAGAGUAACGGAGGAGCACGAAGGUUGGCUAAUCCUGGUCGGACAUCAGGAGGUUAGUGCAAUGGCAUAAGCCAGCUUGACUGCGAGCGUGACGGCGCGAGCAGGUGCGAAAGCAGGUCAUAGUGAUCCGGUGGUUCUGAAUGGAAGGGCCAUCGCUCAACGGAUAAAAGGUACUCCGGGGAUAACAGGCUGAUACCGCCCAAGAGUUCAUAUCGACGGCGGUGUUUGGCACCUCGAUGUCGGCUCAUCACAUCCUGGGGCUGAAGUAGGUCCCAAGGGUAUGGCUGUUCGCCAUUUAAAGUGGUACGCGAGCUGGGUUUAGAACGUCGUGAGACAGUUCGGUCCCUAUCUGCCGUGGGCGCUGGAGAACUGAGGGGGGCUGCUCCUAGUACGAGAGGACCGGAGUGGACGCAUCACUGGUGUUCGGGUUGUCAUGCCAAUGGCACUGCCCGGUAGCUAAAUGCGGAAGAGAUAAGUGCUGAAAGCAUCUAAGCACGAAACUUGCCCCG
rnacentral:rRNA from 1 species